rnacentral:rRNA from 1 species
UACGUAGGGUGCGAGCGUUGUCCGGAAUUAUUGGGCGUAAAGGGCUCGUAGGCGGUUUGUCGCGUCGGGAGUGAAAACCUUGGGCUUAACUCAGGGCUUGCUUUCGAUACGGGCAGACUAGAGGUAUGCAGGGGAGAACGGAAUUCCUGGUGUAGCGGUGAAAUGCGCAGAUAUCAGGAAGAACACCGGUGGCGAAGGCGGUUCUCUGGGCAUUACCUGACGCUGAGGAGCGAAAGUGUGGGGAGCGAACAGG